rnacentral:lncRNA from 1 species
AUGGACUCAUACACAGACACACACAGACACACACACAGACACAUGGACUCACACUCACACAGACACACACACAGACACAUGGACUCACACACAGACACACACACACACAGACACAUGGACUCAUACACACACACAGACACAUGGACUCACACACAGACACAUGGACACACACACAGACACACACAGACACAUGGACUCACACACACAGACACACACACAUACACAUGGACUCACACACACAGACACAUGGACCCCCCACACACAGACACACACACAGACACAUGGACUCACAGACACACACUCACACACAGACACACACACACAGACACAUGGACACAGACACACACACACACAGGCACAUGGACUCACACACACACAGACACACACAGACACAUGGACUCACACACACACAGACACACACAGACACACGGACUCACACACACAGACACACACAGACACACGGACUCACACACACACAGACACAUGGACUCACACAGACACAUAGACACACACACAGACACAUGGACUCACACACACACAGACACAUGGACUCACACACACAGACACACCCAGACACAUGGACUCACACACACACUCACAGACACACAGACACAUGGACUCACACACAGACUCAGACACAUAUGCAGACACACACUCCCACACCCAGACACACACACACAGAUGUACACUCUCCCCCCCACACACGAACUCACACACACAGACACACACACAGACACACACACAGACACAUGGACACACACACACACAGACACACAUGCAGACACACUCCCACACACACCCAGACACACCCAGACACAGAUGCACACACUCUCCCCCCACAGACACACGGACUCACACACACAGACACACAUGGACUCAGAGACACACACACGGACUCACACACAGACACACAUGGACUCAGACACACACACGGACUCACACACACAGACACACAUGGACUCCGACACAGACACACGGACUCAGACACAGAUACAGGCAUGGACUCAUACACACACAUACACAUACACAUACAUUCACACACACAUACACACAGACAUGCACAUUUACACAUACAUAGGCACAUACACAGACUCACGUACAUGCAUGUACAUGUACACAUAUACCAACUCACACACAUACAUAUAUAUACAAACCCAAAAACAUACACCCGCAUACACAGAUACACACAUAUACCAACUCAUGUACAUAUACACAUAUGCAAUACACACACAGACACAUAUACACAUACACAAUAUACACACAGACUCACAUACAUACACAUGUACAUACACGCAGAUACACAGACACAGGUUUGGCACCCUCUCUGUCUCUGUCUCUCUCUGUCUCGCCUUCACCAGAUGUGGCCCCUCCAUCUCGAACUUCCCAGCCUCCGGAAUUUAUUAA